GACAAGUCGAGCGGUAGCACAGAGAGCUUGCUCUCGGGUGACGAGCGGCGGACGGGUGAGUAAUGUCUGGGAAACUGCCUGAUGGAGGGGGAUAACUACUGGAAACGGUAGCUAAUACCGCAUAAUGUCGCAAGACCAAAGUGGGGGACCUUCGGGCCUCAUGCCAUCAGAUGUGCCCAGAUGGGAUUAGCUAGUAGGUGGGGUAACGGCUCACCUAGGCGACGAUCCCUAGCUGGUCUGAGAGGAUGACCAGCCACACUGGAACUGAGACACGGUCCAGACUCCUACGGGAGGCAGCAGUGGGGAAUAUUGCACAAUGGGCGCAAGCCUGAUGCAGCCAUGCCGCGUGUGUGAAGAAGGCCUUCGGGUUGUAAAGCACUUUCAGCGGGGAGGAAGGCGAUAAGGUUAAUAACCUUGGCGAUUGACGUUACCCGCAGAAGAAGCACCGGCUAACUCCGUGCCAGCAGCCGCGGUAAUACGGAGGGUGCAAGCGUUAAUCGGAAUUACUGGGCGUAAAGCGCACGCAGGCGGUCUGUCAAGUCGGAUGUGAAAUCCCCGGGCUCAACCUGGGAACUGCAUUCGAAACUGGCAGGCUAGAGUCUUGUAGAGGGGGGUAGAAUUCCAGGUGUAGCGGUGAAAUGCGUAGAGAUCUGGAGGAAUACCGGUGGCGAAGGCGGCCCCCUGGACAAAGACUGACGCUCAGGUGCGAAAGCGUGGGGAGCAAACAGGAUUAGAUACCCUGGUAGUCCACGCCGUAAACGAUGUCGAUUUGGAGGUUGUGCCCUUGAGGCGUGGCUUCCGGAGCUAACGCGUUAAAUCGACCGCCUGGGGAGUACGGCCGCAAGGUUAAAACUCAAAUGAAUUGACGGGGGCCCGCACAAGCGGUGGAGCAUGUGGUUUAAUUCGAUGCAACGCGAAGAACCUUACCUGGUCUUGACAUCCACAGAACUUUCCAGAGAUGGAUUGGUGCCUUCGGGAACUGUGAGACAGGUGCUGCAUGGCUGUCGUCAGCUCGUGUUGUGAAAUGUUGGGUUAAGUCCCGCAACGAGCGCAACCCUUAUCCUUUGUUGCCAGCGGUUCGGCCGGGAACUCAAAGGAGACUGCCAGUGAUAAACUGGAGGAAGGUGGGGAUGACGUCAAGUCAUCAUGGCCCUUACGACCAGGGCUACACACGUGCUACAAUGGCAUAUACAAAGAGAAGCGACCUCGCGAGAGCAAGCGGACCUCAUAAAGUAUGUCGUAGUCCGGAUUGGAGUCUGCAACUCGACUCCAUGAAGUCGGAAUCGCUAGUAAUCGUAGAUCAGAAUGCUACGGUGAAUACGUUCCCGGGCCUUGUACACACCGCCCGUCACACCAUGGGAGUGGGUUGCAAAAGAAGUAGGUAGCUUAACCUUCGGGAGGGCGCUU
rnacentral:rRNA from 1 species